UAAGGAAUAACGUCGAGAAAUCGGCGCUAAUACCUCAUAAUGCAGCGGAUCGCAUGGAGUAUGUUGUUAAAGGUUUACCGCCUUGGGAUAGGCUUGCGUCUGAUUAGUUAGUUGGUGUGGUAACGGCACACCAAGGCUACGAUCAGUAACUGGUCUGAGAGGAUGAUCAGUCACACUGGAACUGAGACACGGUCCAGACUCCUACGGGAGGCAGCAGUGAGGAAUAUUGGGCAAUGCUCGAAAGAGUGACCCAGCAACGCCGCGUGGAGGAUGAAGGUAUUCUAUAUCGUAAACUCCUGUGAGAGCAGACGAAAGACAGAUUAUUAAUCUGGAUGACUGUAUGCUCAGAGGAAGCCCCGGCUAACUACGUG
rnacentral:rRNA from 1 species